GAUGAAGAACGCAGCGAAAUGCGAUAAGUAAUGUGAAUUGCAGAAUUCAGUGAAUCAUCGAAUCUUUGAACGCACAUUGCGCCCUCCAGUAUUCUGGCGGGCAUGCCUGUCCGAGCGUCAUUUCAACCCUCGAACCCCUCCGGGGGGUCGGCGUUGGGGAUCGGCCCUUUACGGGGCCGGCCCCGAAAUACAGUGGCGGUCUCGCCGCAGCCUCUCCUGCGCAGUAGUUUGCACACUCGCAUCGGGAGCGCGGCGCGUCCACAGCCGUUAAACACCCCAAACUUCUGAAAUGUUGACCUCGGAUCAGGUAGGAAUACCCGCUGAACUUAAGCAUAUCAAUAAGCGGAGGA
rnacentral:misc_RNA from 1 species